GCCCUCGUGGUGAAACUGGCAGACACGCAUGGCUUAGGACCAUGUGCCGCAAGGCUUGGAGGUUCGAAUCCUCCCGAGGGCA
rnacentral:tRNA from 1 species